AACUUUCUCCGACUUUUUAGGACGUGUUUUAUGCCACUUCUUUUUCUGUGUCAUUUUGUCCACCAAACCUUUAACGUUGUGCGUGAAUACACAAAGUGUCAUGAUACCACCGUGCGUCUGGUGGCCUGACCCCAGGAUGCAGAGACGGCUGACGACGUGCUGUGUGUCCAAUCUCUGCUGUGUUUGGCACCAGCCUUCUUCGAACCCCCAUGUUGCCAAGGUAUGUUUUUCAGCAGGAGAUGACGUGGGAUGAUCCUGUAGUGACCACUAGAGGCAGCAGAGGGUGCCAUAGUGACCAAACGUUCCACGUAAGUCACGCUGUUGGCUAAAGUAGCC